rnacentral:lncRNA from 1 species
AUGGGGAAGGCUAGCCAAGAAGGAAUUUUUUCUCAUUACUUCAGUAGUCAGUGGCAAAAUUUUAGAUGGAAGUUGCCCCCAAGAUGCCCUCUGCUGAGACCCCUGCUGUCCUCAUCGUUCAUCACUGCCCAUUCCAUGUACUUCGGCUAUCCUGAGCACCCCCUUCUGUUCCCUGCUUCGGUGCCCCACACAUUCUUCCUGCCUGAACUACGCUUCUCCUAUACAUUCUCCAGGAAGAAGAAAGAUACCAUCAUCAGAUUCUCUAAGAGCCUCCAUUAACCAUGACUGUAUGAAACAAGAAGAUCCAAUAAGUAUUUUUUUAAUGUUUUUAUUUAUUUCUAAGACAGAGAGAGACAGAGCAUGAGCAGGGGAGGGACAGAGAGAGAGGGAGACACAGAAUCUGAAGCAGGCUCCAGGCUCUGAGCUGUCACUGACUGAGCCACCCAGGUGCCCCAAAGAUCGAAUAAGUAUUGAAGAAGGCUAACUUUCAAGAAAGUUGAUUAUAACAAUAUAAGACACAUAGGAGAAAUAAUUAACAAUCUCUGGCUUUUGUAACAUGUACAAUAAACUGCAUAUACAUUGGUACA